rnacentral:pre_miRNA from 1 species
AGGAGCAACAGCCCUAGUGGCGGGGCCAGCUCUGCAGCCCUGGAUUCAGCUCCGGCAGGAACUCCGGAGCUCUCGGUCUGCAGGGCCUGGAGGCUCCGGGGCGGG